rnacentral:rRNA from 1 species
GUUAGGAAUAUUGGACAAUGGGCGCAAGCCUGAUCCAGCCAUGCCGCGUGAACGAUGAAGGCCUUCGGGUUGUAAAGUUCUUUAGCCGAUGAUUAUAAUGACUGUAGUCGGAAAAUAAGCCCCGGCUAACUUCGUGCCAGCAGCCGCGGUAAUACGAAGGGGGCGAGCGUUAUUCGGAAUCACUGGGCGUAAAGCGUGCGUAGGCGGUCUCGUAAGUUAGGAGUGAAAGCCCAGGGCUCAACCUUGGAAUUGCUCUUAAUACUGCAAGGCUAGAAUCUCGGAGAGGAUAGCGGAAUUUCCAGUGUAGCAGUGAAAUGCGUAGAUAUUGGAAGGAACACCAGUGGCGUAAGCGGCUAUCUGGACGAGUAUUGACGCUGAGGCACGAAAGCGUGGGGAGCAAACAGGAUUAGAUACCCCGGUAGUCC